rnacentral:rRNA from 1 species
UACGGAGGUCCCAAGCGUUGUUCGGAUUUACUGGGCGUAAAGGGUGCGUAGGUGGCCAGGAAAGUUUGAUGUGAAAGCUCCGAGCUCAACUCGGAAAAUGCAUUGAAUACUACUUGGCUUGAGGAUCGGAGGGGAGACUGGAAUUCUCGGUGUAGCAGUGAAAUGCGUAGAUAUCGAGAGGAACACCAGUGGCGAAGGCGAGUCUCUGGACGAUUCCUGACACUGAGGCACGAAAGCUAGGGGAGCAAAC